rnacentral:rRNA from 1 species
CGGUAGGUACUCGAGUGGCGAACGGGUGAGUAACACGUGGGUGAUCUGCCCUGCACUCUGGGAUAAGCCUGGGAAACUGGGUCUAAUACCGGAUAGGACCGCACUUUAGUGUGUGUGGUGGAAAGUUUUUUCGGUGUAGGAUGAGCCCGCGGCCUAUCAGCUUGUUGGUGGGGUAAUGGCCUACCAAGGCGGCGACGGGUAGCCGGACUGAGAGGUUGGUCGGCCACAUUGGGACUGAGAUACGGCCCAG